rnacentral:lncRNA from 1 species
ACUCAGAAGCUGCCUUGAAGAAAGGGUCUACCCAGCAUGGGUUGCUUAGACUUGGUGGUGUGCUGGAGCAGGCUCCUACCAGCUGGAAAGAACCAGUUCAAUACAUCUCAACUCCAUGUUCAGAGUUGUCAAAGAACCAAUUGUUAAAUAUUUACUGGCACUCCACUGCUUAGAUUUUUCCAGUGCUUGCAGUGCUAACCAGGAGCUCAUCCCUGGAGGAGAGGCAGAGAAUGUGUACUCCCAGACGCGGCCAGCUUCCAGGAAAAGAGGGAGGAGCCAAGCAGAGCAUGCCCACAUCAAUCUUCCAGCAUUUAAUGGCCAUAGAAGUUACUGAACCUCCCUUGGAUGGAUAGAAGAUGGCAUUAUCUUUCUUAAAUAUGAUACCUCUUUUCUUUUUGUUCCCUUGACACUUGAGGAGGGAGGCCAAGGGUUGAUCAUGCAAGCAAGUUUGUGCAUUUUGCACAUUUAUUAAGUUACGUUUUUGAGGAAAUUAAAAGAUCACAAGGGCUU